UGUCGCAGUCGCAUGGAGAAGGGAAAGAAAAUACAGAAAUCUCUAGCGAAGAUAUAUUUUGUCAUUUUGUUUGGCAGAGUGAGUAAAACCAAACUAUUUCUUAUCUGCAAAAAGAAUCAAUGGCUAAGCAGGAAAUUGAAAACCAUCCAUAGAAAGAACCCAGAGAUUGCGGUUACAACACCCUUCAAUCCUUUUAUCUCAUGGCUUUCCACUCUGCUAUUUUUCCUCACAAUUCCUACUCAUGCCUCUAUCCAAUCCCACAAAAUCUAAGGAGAAAUCCAUAUAUUCGGGGACUAACCGUCAGAGCAGCAAAUGAUGCUGCUGGACCAAGCGAGGAGAAUGGAGCUCAGGCGGCGGCGAAGACAAGCGAAGAACCCUCCAAGUCUCAGUCUUCGACGACGACGACGACGACAGCAAAGACAACAACGAAUAAGUUGCCCAAGAAGCCUGUAUAUUCAAUGAAGAAAGGUCAGAUCGUGAGAGUGGAGAAGGAGAAGUAUCUUAACAGCGUCAAUUAUUUGUCUGUUGGGCAUCCUCCUUAUUUCAAAGGCUUGGACUACAUCUAUGAAGACCGUGGUGAGGUCUUGGACAUACGCAUUUUCGAGACAGGAGAGUAUGCACUUAUUGCAUGGGUUGGAAUCCCAACCGCACCAGCUUGGCUCCCAACAGACAUGCUUAUCAAGGUUAUGCAGUGUCAAAUGAACCAUGUUUGAAUCAUCAAUCCAAAAAUCUCACAUACGCGAAGUUUCUCGAUACUCGAGUCCUCUGUUAAUAUUUAUUCAACAUAUGGAUUUGUUCAAUGGAUGCUGCCAUCAUUUUUCUACCACGUUUAGUUGAUUGCACCACUAAAUUUCCCAGUUUGCAUGUCCGAUAAGCUCAAUUACGAGAGGAUGUAAAUUUGAGAUCCUGAAGGCAGAAGCCCGAAACAUCUUUUGUGUUUGCUCUUACCUCCUGACAUGUUACUUUUACUUCUAAGUUUUCUUGUGCAUCCUUCAUCGUACAUCUCUGGUAAAUGAUGUGUAGUGAAUUUAUUAGAUGAAUAUAUCUCAUGAAUGAUAGAAUUUGAGGACCUUGUUAUGUAUCAGAUAAGGAAUGGAUGGUGAUACAACAUGCAGCCCGACAAAUUCCCUGAUUUUUUGCUUUUA